UUGGAUUUUUUUCCUGGUCUUAACUGCAUUUGAAAAUAUUUUGCUAUUACUUUUUAGGUCAAUGAGACAUCAGCUAAUUUGUAUGUAGCUAACAGCAGAACUAAAAUUCUGCACUUUCAAGUGGGCCUCAGUCCAGACUCCGAGCACAGGCACACGUGGGUGUGAAAGACUCUGCCUUUUUUUAUUUAGGCUUCACACUUUUCCUGGGGCCUCUGGGCUCCUGUCCAGGCCAAGAUACUUCACAAUUGACUUUCAUUUUCUGAGGUCAUGGAGAAGAUGGAUUCAAACUCUUUCCCAGAGCAUGCAAGGAUGAGAUGCAAUAGUUUAAAAGGUUCUAUGAUGGAAAUUAUUGUUAGAUAUGAAGAAAAGAAGAAUAAUGCAGUGAUUGGAACAGGUACUCAGAGUGCUUGUGAAAUCUUUAUCUCAGGAAAUUUUGACAAAUCAGAUGGAGAAAACCCUGAACAGUCUUAUCUAACUUUAAAGUUAGUCUAGCCCUGAUCAGAAGGUUGGAUUGAAUGG